GGACACUAGAGACAAAAAUCACAUGCUUGGUUAGAUAUAGUGGACCUUUUUGCCUCUACUAUUGGUUGCUCAUAAACUACUAAAAACACAAGGGAAUUAGACUUGCACUUUCAUAUUGAGCAAAUUGAUUUUGAGAAGAAAUAUGACAACCUUGCAGCAGAGAACAUUACUAAAUUAGGUUCAAGGCAUGAACAGACAGACAACAAGUGCAUGUUUUAAAGAGAAUGGUAUACAUUUAUUAUGUACAGAUACAUUGGGAUAGGGAUAAAUAUUAUUAGAUGAU
rnacentral:misc_RNA from 1 species